rnacentral:lncRNA from 1 species
UCCAGAGAAGCCGAGGUGAGAAGCAUUGAUUUAAGAGAUGCCAAGUAACUCAGCGGAUGUCACACAGAUGAUAAAGAGCAAGGAUAGACCUCUUCAUUUCAUGUUUGAGGCAAUUCUCUAAGACAGCUGAUUUCUCCAGAGCUGGUAGGUAAGUAUCUACCUCCCAGAAUGCAAUGUGUCCAGAGAUUAUAAUAAGUGAAAUAUUGGAUUGCCAAUAUUCUUUUCUCUUGUCCUUCUACGCUUGGAUUCUUUUUUUAAGUUUAUUCCCCACUGUAGGAGACAGACUUGCUCACGUGAUAGAUCCGGCCAUGAUAUUGUCCCUAAGAGAACGAGAUGCUCUUUGCAGAAGACAUAGAAGAUUCCUGAAACUGGGAAAGGGGCCUAGAAACCUGGAGAAGAGUGAAGAAGGCAUUUUCCCUCCCCUGCUUAGGCAUCUGCCACCAUAUUCAAUACUUUCUCCAGGGUUCUCAGGUUUCCCAUUGGCUUGGAAUUUGUCAAUUAGUUUUGCUGGCUGGACAGAAAGCCACACGGAUCCUCUU